rnacentral:misc_RNA from 1 species
GAUGAAGAACGUAGCGAAAUGCGAUAAGUAGUGUGAAUUGCAGAAUUCAGUGAAUCAUCGAAUCUUUGAACGCACAUUGCGCCCCUUGGUAUUCCAUGGGGCAUGCCUGUUCGAGCGUCAUUUGUACCUUCAAGCUCUGCUUGGUGUUGGGUGUUUGUCUCGCCUCUGCGUGUAGACUCGCCUCAAAACAAUUGGCAGCCGGCGUAUUGAUUUCGGAGCGCAGUACGUCUCGCGCUUUGCACUCAUAACGACGACGUCCAAAAGUACAUUUUUACACUCUUGACCUCGGAUCAGGUAGGGAUACCCGCUGAACUUAAGCAUAUCAAUAAGCGGAGGA